ensembl:lncRNA
CCGGUGGCGGUCUCCAGCCAGGGUUGGACGGCGGCUGAGGGCGAUCGUCUCUGCAAGGACCUGGGCUGCGUAGGGUACAAGAACCACACGGAUGAGCACCCCUGCAAUCAGCCCCUGUGGGGGAUCUUCAACUGCUCCGGCGUGGAAACGCCCAAGAACAUCUGGGACUGCCUCCGGAGCGAGUCGCCGGCUGGGAGCGAGAACAAAACACUUAAGCGGCUGUACCUCACCUGCAAAGGCCACCGUAAUGCCACGCUGUCCAAGGACUGCAGGGGCGAUGUGUCGCUCAACAAAAUGCCUGUCGCCAUCCAAGGCUGGACGCAGGCAAACGCCAACCGCGUCUGUAAGGAGAACCGCGUCUCUAAGGAGAAC